rnacentral:rRNA from 1 species
GAUGAACGCUGGCGGCGUGCUUAACACAUGCAAGUCGAACGAAGCACUUUAUUUGAUUUCCUUCGGGACUGAUUAUUUUGUGACUGAGUGGCGGACGGGUGAGUCACGCGUGGGUAACCUGCCUUGUACAUGGGGAUAACAGUUGGAAACGGCUGCUAAUACCGCAUAAGCGCACGGCAUCGCAUGAUGCAGUGUGAAAAACUCCGGUGGUAUAAGAUGGACCCGCGUUGGAUUAGCUAGUUGGUGAGGUAACGGCCCACCAAGGCGACGAUCCAUAGCCGAGCUGGGAGGGUGACCGGCCACAUUGGGACUGAGACACGGCCCAAACUCCUACGGGAGGCAGCAGUGGGGAAUAUUGCACAAUGGGCGAAAGCCUGAUGCAGCGACGCCGCGUGAGCGAAGAAGUAUUUCGGUAUGUAAAGCUCUAUCAGCAGGGAAGAUAAUGACGGUACCUGAAUAAGAAGCACCGGCUAAAUACGUG